ensembl:snoRNA SNORA71 Small nucleolar RNA SNORA71
UCCUGUAUCGAAAGUGAUCAUGGCGCUCCAGUUGCCAGGUCAUUGAUAGUACAGGAAUAUUAAGAUGGGAGCCUUUCCCGUGUUUGUUGGACCGUCUGUUCCUGUCAAACCCUGUUGCUCUCAGACA